GGUUAAGCGACUAAGCGUACACGGUGGAUGCCCUGGCAGUCAGAGGCGAUGAAGGACGUGCUAAUCUGCGAUAAGCGUCGGUGAGGUGAUAUGAACCGUUAUAACCGGCGAUUUCCGAAUGGGGAAACCCAGUGUGUUUCGACACACUAUCAUUAACUGAAUCCAUAGGUUAAUGAGGCGAACCGGGGGAACUGAAACAUCUAAGUACCCCGAGGAAAAGAAAUCAACCGAGAUUCCCCCAGUAGCGGCGAGCGAACGGGGAGGAGCCCAGAGCCUGAAUCAGUGUGUGUGUUAGUGGAAGCGUCUGGAAAGGCGUGCGAUACAGGGUGACAGCCCCGUACACAAAAAUGCACAUACUGUGAGCUCGAUGAGUAGGGCGGGACACGUGGUAUCCUGUCUGAAUAUGGGGGGACCAUCCUCCAAGGCUAAAUACUCCUGACUGACCGAUAGUGAACCAGUACCGUGAGGGAAAGGCGAAAAGAACCCCGGCGAGGGGAGUGAAAAAGAACCUGAAACCGUGUACGUACAAGCAGUGGGAGCCUCUUAAUGGGGUGACUGCGUACCUUUUGUAUAAUGGGUCAGCGACUUAUAUUCUGUAGCAAGGUUAACCGAAUAGGGGAGCCGAAGGGAAACCGAGUCUUAACUGGGCGUUAAGUUGCAGGGUAUAGACCCGAAACCCGGUGAUCUAGCCAUGGGCAGGUUGAAGGUUGGGUAACACUAACUGGAGGACCGAACCGACUAAUGUUGAAAAAUUAGCGGAUGACUUGUGGCUGGGGGUGAAAGGCCAAUCAAACCGGGAGAUAGCUGGUUCUCCCCGAAAGCUAUUUAGGUAGCGCCUCGUGAAUUCAUCUCCGGGGGUAGAGCACUGUUUCGGCAAGGGGGUCAUCCCGACUUACCAACCCGAUGCAAACUGCGAAUACCGGAGAAUGUUAUCACGGGAGACACACGGCGGGUGCUAACGUCCGUCGUGAAGAGGGAAACAACCCAGACCGCCAGCUAAGGUCCCAAAGUCAUGGUUAAGUGGGAAACGAUGUGGGAAGGCCCAGACAGCCAGGAUGUUGGCUUAGAAGCAGCCAUCAUUUAAAGAAAGCGUAAUAGCUCACUGGUCGAGUCGGCCUGCGCGGAAGAUGUAACGGGGCUAAACCAUGCACCGAAGCUGCGGCAGCGACACUAUGUGUUGUUGGGUAGGGGAGCGUUCUGUAAGCCUGUGAAGGUGUACUGUGAGGUAUGCUGGAGGUAUCAGAAGUGCGAAUGCUGACAUAAGUAACGAUAAAGCGGGUGAAAAGCCCGCUCGCCGGAAGACCAAGGGUUCCUGUCCAACGUUAAUCGGGGCAGGGUGAGUCGACCCCUAAGGCGAGGCCGAAAGGCGUAGUCGAUGGGAAACAGGUUAAUAUUCCUGUACUUGGUGUUACUGCGAAGGGGGGACGGAGAAGGCUAUGUUGGCCGGGCGACGGUUGUCCCGGUUUAAGCGUGUAGGCUGGUUUUCCAGGCAAAUCCGGAAAACCAAGGCUGAGGCGUGAUGACGAGGCACUACGGUGCUGAAGCGACAAAUGCCCUGCUUCCAGGAAAAGCCUCUAAGCAUCAGGUAACAU
rnacentral:rRNA from 1 species